UACGGAGGGUGCAAGCGUUAUCCGGAUUUACUGGGUUUAAAGGGUGCGCAGGCGGAUAUGUAAGUCAGUGGUGAAAUCUCUGGGCUUAACCCGGAAAUUGCCAUUGAUACUAUAUAUCUUGAAUGUUGUGGAGGUAAGCGGAAUAUGUCAUGUAGCGGUGAAAUGCGUAGAUAUCGUAAGGAAGACCAGUGGCGAAGGCGGGUCUCUGGACAGUUCCUGACGCUGAGGCACGAAGGUCAGGGGAGCAAACGGG
rnacentral:rRNA from 1 species